UACGAAGGGUGCAAGCGUUACUCGGAAUUACUGGGCGUAAAGCGUGCGUAGGUGGUUCGUUAAGUCUGAUGUGAAAGCCCUGGGCUCGAACCUGGGAACUGCAUUGGAUACUGUCGGGCUAGAGUGCGGAAGAGGCGAGUGGAAUUCCUGGUGUAGCGGUGAAAUGCGCAGAUAUCAGGAGGAACACCGGUGGCGAAGGCGGCUCUCUGGACUGUAACUGACGCUGAGGCGCGAAAGCGUGGGGAGCAAACAGG
rnacentral:rRNA from 1 species